UACGGAUUCAGUCAACAGUUU
rnacentral:piRNA from 1 species